GACGGGGGAUGCAAGCGUAAUCCGGAAUCACUGGGCGUAAAGCGUCUGUAGGUGGUGAUGCAAGUCACUGGUGCAAAACUCUGGCUCAACCGGAGGAAAGCCAGUGAAACUGCAUGACUAGAGUGUGGGAGAGGUAGAAGGAAUUCCCUGAGUAGCGGUGAAAUGCGUAGAUACAGGGAAGAACACCGGAGGCGAAAGCGUUCUACUGGAACACAACUGACACUGAGAAGCGAAAGCCAGGGGAGCGAAUGGG
rnacentral:rRNA from 1 species